AACGUAGGAGACGAGCGUUAUCCGGAUUUACUGGGCGUAAAGCGUGUGCAGGCGGUUCGGCAAGUUGGAUGUGAAAUCUCCUGGCUCAACUAGGAGAGGUCGUUCAAUACUACCAAACUUGAGGGCAUCAGAGGAAGGUGGAAUUCCGGGUGUAGUGGUGAAAUGCGUAGAUAUCCGGAGGAACACCAGUGGCGAAGGCGGCCUUCUGGGAUGCUCCUGACGCUCAGACACGAAAGCUAGGGGAGCGAACAGG
rnacentral:rRNA from 1 species